rnacentral:rRNA from 1 species
UACGAGGGGGGCGAGCGUUGUUCGGAAUUAUUGGGCGUAAAGGGUGCGUAGGCGGUUUGGUAAGUCUGAUGUGAAAUCUAUGGGCUCAACUCAUAGUCUGCAUCGGAAACUGCCGGGCUUGAGUAUGGGAGAGGUGAGUGGAAUUCCCAGUGUAGCGGUGAAAUGCGUAGAUAUCAGGAAGAACACCCGUGGCGAAGGCGGCUCUCUGGGACGGUACUGACGCUGAGACGCGAAAGCGUGGGGAGCGAACAGG